AGUCUAUGAUGUGAACAUCUUCGAAGCAACUCUCUAAACUUUUCCUAUGCUUCAUAUAAUGACUCACCCUCUAAUUGAUUAAAACUAGUAAUAUCCAUUCUAAAUUU